rnacentral:rRNA from 1 species
UGGGGAAUAUUGGACAAUGGGCGCAAGCCUGAUCCAGCCAUGCCGCGUGAGUGAUGAAGGCCUUAGGGUUGUAAAGCUCUUUCGCCGACGAAGAUAAUGACGGUAGUCGGAGAAGAAGCCCCGGCUAACUUCGUGCCAGCAGCCGCGGUAAUACGAAGGGGGCUAGCGUUGUUCGGAAUCACUGGGCGUAAAGCGCACGUAGGCGGAUUGUUAAGUCAGGGGUGAAAGCCUGGAGCUCAACUCCAGAACUGCCCUUGAUACUGGCAAUCUCGAGUCCGGAAGAGGUAAGUGGAACUGCGAGUGUNAGAGGUGAAAUUCGUAGAUAUUCGCAAGAACACCAGUGGCGAAGGCGGCUUACUGGUCCGGUACUGACGCUGAGGUGCGAAACGCGUGGGGAGCAAACAGGAUUAGAUACCCUGGUAGUCCACGCCGUAAACGAUGGAGGCUAGCCGUUGGCGAGCAUGCUCGUCAGUGGCGCAGCUAACGCAUUAAGCCUC